rnacentral:rRNA from 1 species
AUUGAACGCUGGCGGCAGGCCUAACACAUGCAAGUCGAACGAGUGGCGGACGGGUGAGUACUGUCUGGGAAACUGCCGGCUGGAGGGGGAUAACUAAUGGAAACGGUAGCUAAUACAGCAUACCAUCGGAGGUGCCCAGAUGGGAUUGGCUAGUAGGUGGGGUAAAGGCUCACCUAGGCGACGAGCCCUAGCUGGUAUGAGGGGAUGACCGUCCACACUGGAACUGAGAAACGUUCCCGACGCCUACGGUAGGCAUCAGUGGGGAAUAUUGCACAAUGGGCGCAAGCCUUAUGCAGCCAUGCCGCGUGUAUGAAGAAGGCCUUCGGGUUGUAAAGUACUUUCAGCGGGGAGGCGUUACCCGCAGAAGAAGCACCGGCUAACUCCGUGACAGCAGCCGCGGUAAUAC